rnacentral:tRNA from 1 species
GUGUGUAUAAUUUAAAUAAAAUAUUAGAUUGUGAUUCUAAAAACGAGAGUUAAACUCUCUCUUCACACC